AAUCAAGAUAGUUUAGAAAUCACGUAUCUAACAAGUAUUUCAAAACCAAACACCUAUAAAUAGUAGUCACAAACCAAAAUAGUUUAAAAAUCACAUAUCUAACAAGUAUUUCAAAACCAAGCACCUAGAGUUAGUCGAUAUCAAAAUCAAAACACAUGUAUAAUCAUGGAACAUGUGAUGGUGGAUUUGGAUGGCUAGUGGCGCUGCUUGAUUGCCCUUGCAACUGCUUGAUAAUCUCCAUUGCAACUUUAACCUGUUCUUCUAAUCGAGAUGUCCUUUCUCGCUCCGCUUGAAGUUGCUCCUCUACAUCUCCUAGGCGAGUGGCAUACUGCUCUUUGUCAAUGUCGGACAUAGCUGAAGUACUACUCUCUCCCGAUAUAUUGGUCUUCAAGGUCGAUGCGAGACUACCUGUGCCAAACAAUCUUUGCUUUUCAUCUAAACCGCCUCCCAAGACAUCUAGAUAUAUCUUGUUCAUAUCCACGGGCGUAUCAGGAUUAGAUUGGCCCAUCUCUGCAGCAAUUUCUUGUACCUCCACCUAAUUGAUAAAAAAUGUUAUAUAAAACAUAUUAAAAUAUACACUAUUAAAGACAUAUACUUGUUUCAACCAAUCUACAACCAACAAAUUUCAUAAGCUACACUCAAAUGAUUAAAGUAUUGCUAAUUCACUAAAUUUGAUUCUUCCAAGGGAUUCAAGAUCUCUACUUAUGUCUAUUGGUGGAUUCGACAGGUAAUCACUCUACUCUAUCAAAUCAAGGCUGCCAAGCCAUUUACACGAAAGGCUAUGUUUGAUAAGAAAUGCAAAGACUAAGCUCCAAGAAAGAUGAAUAACUCCAUCUAUUGAUGUAAAAAAAUGCAUCCUAUCUACUAAUGAUUGAAGUCUUAGAAUUUAAGAUAAUGAAUGGUGAGAUUAAACAAGUUUGUAAGCUAUUAAUUCCAUAAAAAUGAGAUAAAACUUCUUUCAUAUUAAAGAAUUUUAAAUAACUUACAUCGAUUCUUUCAGACUUCUUAUCGGUGUAAGUCCCAUCCUUCUUCACGUGUAAAGCUCGAAAAGAGUCAUAUAUCACACUCGACACUGGGACUCCCUUC
rnacentral:lncRNA from 1 species